CAUUCUUGGGGGAGGCACUCAUGGCCUAACAACCUCCUAAAGAACCUACUAUUUUGUGUAAUACCAUCAUAUCGGCUGCUGUUAACUAUCAGUACCUGAAUUUUGGAGGGAACACAUUCAAACUAUAGCAUUUAUUUAGGCUAAAAAGAUAGUUCAUUGUCAGUGUAUGAAAAACCUACUGAUUUUUUACGUUGAUUUUAUAUACUGCAACUUUAUUGAAUUCUCAACAAAUGGUGUUGAAAAAACUGGAUGUCCUCAUGAAGAAGAAUGAAAUUGAACACAUCACAUCCCAUAUACAAGAAUCAACUCAAAGUGGGUUGAAGACUUAAAUAUAAGAUCUGAAACUAUAAAACUAUUAGAAAUAAAAAACGUAAGAGGAAAG
rnacentral:lncRNA from 10 species